rnacentral:rRNA from 1 species
UACAGAGGUCUCAAGCGUUGUUCGGAUUCAUUGGGCGUAAAGGGUGCGUAGGCGGCGGAGUAAGUUGGAUGUGAAAUCCCAGGGCUUAACCCUGGAACUGCAUUCAAUACUGCUUUGCCUAGAGUACUGGAGAGGAGAUUGGAAUUCACGGGUGUAGCAGUGAAAUGCGUAGAUAUCGUGAGGAAGACCAGUGGCGAAGGCGAAUCUCUGGACAGUAACUGACGCUGAGGCACGAAGGCUAGGGGAGCAAACGGG